rnacentral:lncRNA from 1 species
AUAAAUACACAAAAGGAUGAAAUAUCAAAAUUAGAAUCACAAAUAGAUAGCUUAGAAUAUAUAUAUCAACAUGACCUAUUCACAAUAAAAUGAAUAAAGAAGAAUUUAUAAUAGAUGAAAAAAUAUAUGAAAACUAUGAAGGAUCAAAAAUAAAAAUAGUAUUUUCUAAUCUAGGACAAAGAUAUAAGAAAAUAGGUGAACACUUAUAUCUAAUGUUAGAAAAAGAAGAAUUAAAAUUAGAAGAUAAAUUAACAGCAAUGGUAAGAAUAGAAAAAGAAAAUGAAGAGAUAGAUAGGAAAAAAGAAAUAGAAAAAAUAAAACAACAAACUACGGAAGAAAUACGAAAAAUAGAAGAAACCAAAAAUAGUAGAAUUGCUGAAUUAGAAAAAGAAUUACAAAUGUUAAAAGAACUGUAUGAACAAAGACAGAAAGAAAAAGAAGAAAAAGAUAGAGAACAGAAAUUACUAAAUGAGAUAAAUCAAUUUAAGGAAAAAUUAGAAAUAAAAAAUGAAGAAUUAGAAAUAAAUAAUAUAGAUAUUGAAGAGACAGAUAAUUAUGAGUCCGAAGAUAGUGAAACAUAUACAGAAAUAUUAACAAAUACAAAAAAUUUAGAAAUCAAUGAAGAACAAAAAAUUUAUGAGGAAAAUUUAGAAAAUACUCACACAGAAAUAAAUACUCUUGAUAAAAAAGAAAAUGAAAAUAUAAUACCUAAAACAACAGAAAUAAGAAAACCUAUAUACCAUAAGAAUAAGUUUAAAAAAUAUAAUGAAUAUGAUAAAUGGAUACCAAAACAAAUAGUGAAUAAAAAUUAUAACUUUUUAGAUCUAGACUGUGUAAUAGAUACAGAAAAAACAAUACAAUUAUGGAUAGGAUAUAUGACAAAACAAUUAUUAGAUAAUAAUAUAAAUAUAACAGAUGCACCGGAAUAUAUAGAAAAAACACUAAUAGGAUCAGUAAAACUAUGGUUUGCAAAUCUAACCGAAAAUAGCAAAAAAGUAUUAAGAACUAAUAAACCUAUAGAAGGAACAUCAUCGACAACAACUAAACUAACACCUAUAGAAUUAUUAAAAAAAUAUGAAACAGCUAUAAAAGAUGAAUUUGGUAGUACGACAACAAUCGAAGAAGAACAAAAUGAAGAAAAAGAUACAAAUAGAAAUUUAAUGUUAAAAUUAGCAAUAUGUAAUAUGUGUUAUAUAGAUGAAUAUACUUGCGCAUUUAAAGAAUAUUAUUACAAAGGAGCAUAUAGUAUAGAAGAAAGUAAAGAAAUAAGAAAAUUAUAUUUUAAUAAAUUACCCGAGCCAUUUAGUUCGAAAAUAAUAAAAAGUUGGGAAGAAGCAAAAAUAGUAGAUACGUUAGGAGCAAGAAUAAAAUAUUUACAACAAUGGUAUAGAAACUUAUGUGAAAAAUAUAGAGAAGAAUUAAAAAUGGAAAAAACAUUAAUAAGAAAUUUAGCUUGUUGCAAAAAUAAAAUAGCACCCCAAUUUGGAUGCGAAGAAAGAUAUUAUAAGAAAAGAAAAAGACAUAAGAAAUAUAAGAAAUAUAAAAAAUCAAAAUAUAAAUAUAAAAAACCAAGAAAAAGAUACUAUGUAAAAAAUUAUAAACAUAAAAGACCAUAUAGAAAAAAGAAAUCUAUAAAAGAAUGUACUUGUUAUAAUUGUGGAAAGUUAGGACAUUUAGCUAGAGAUUGUAAAUUACCUAAAAAUCCAAAAAAUAAACAAAUAUCAGAAAUAAAAAUAGAAAAUACCGAAUACAUGCAGAUAGAUUAUAUAGAUUAUGAAUUAGAAAGUGAAGAUAGUAUAUAUGAAAUUUCAGAAAACGAAACAGAUAAUGAAAUAGAUAGCGAAAUAGAUGAAUCAAAUGACUGAAGAAGAUAUAAAAAUAAUAACAAAGGAAGAAUAUUUAAAUGAUGAAGGAACGGAACAAAAAAUAAUAUUUGACAGUAAUAUAUUUGAUGAAAUAAAAGGAAAAGAAUUAGAUUUAAGUGUAGACAAAAUAUUUAAAAUACCAACAAUAAAAAAUAUUUUUACUAGGAAAAAAGAUGAAUAUUAUGUAGUAUGCCAAAAAGAACAUGUAAUAGAUUGCAGAUAUGCAAAAGGAAAAGCUAGUAUACCACUAGUAACAAAAAGAAUAAUUAAUAAAGAAAUAAAUGAUAUAAAAAGUAAAGGAGAUCCAAUAAAAUAUGUACACCUUGGAGGUACAGAGAUAUUAAUAAAAGCAUGUUUUAGAGAAGGAAUAGAUACACCAAUAGAAUUAUAUUUAGCAGACGAUAGAAUUAUAAAACCUAUAGAAAAAAGCAUAAUAACUGCCGUAAAAGGAAAUCUAAUAUACCAAAAAUUUAAAUUUAUAAUAAGUGCAAAUUAUUCAGUAGCAGUAACAGAUAGGAAUAUAGAUAAAUCAUUAGUAUUAUAUUGGAAAAUAUCAGGAAUAGAGUUAACCCCAGGAAGUAAAAUAUUUACAGCAAGAUGUAAAAACCUAUAUGUAUUAACAACAAAACAUAAAAUAACAGGAAAAAAUAAGAUUAACAAAAUACAAAUAGAAAGCCCAUUCGAACAAAUAGUAAAAACAAUAGAUUAUAAUGAUUAUACCUAUAGAGACAUAGAUACAGAAGAAAAUUUAGAAAUAGUAAAUGAUAGAAUAAGUACAACGAAAAGAAUAGCUAAUGAAAAGCCAGAAUCAUCAAGCUCAUCAAAAAGAACAAGUUAUGAAACAAACUCAAUAAGUAAUUUAAACCAAUAUUACAUAACGGGAAAAAUAAAUGAAAAAGAAUAUUUAAUACUUUUGAAUACAGGACAAGAAGAAAAUCAUAUAGCAAAAUAUCUAGUAAAAAAUGAAGAAAUAAAAACUGACAAUGAUAUAUGCCCAGAUCUACCAAGAAGUUUAAUAAAUAAUAAAAAUAUAGCAGAAAAAGAAAUAAUGUUAGGAGUUAGAAAAAUAAAAAUAGAAUUCGAAGUAAAGGAAGAAAUGCAAAAAGCAGAUAUAAUAUUAGGAAUAAAAUGGUUAGAACAAGUAAAACCAUAUAAUAUAGAACAUACACAAUUAACCUUAACAUAUAACCAAGAAAAGUUAUUCUUAAAAAGAGCCUUAACAUGAAAUGAAGAUACAUGUAUUAAUGAAGAUAGUAGUAGAAGGAUAUUACAGUAGAUAUUAUACGCCUAUGAUAGAUACAGGAGCAGAAGCUAAUUUAUGUAGAUAUAAUUGCUUACCAGAAAGCAAAUGGGAUAAACUAAAAACACCAAUAAUAGUUAAAGGAUUUAAUAAUGAAGGAAGCUUAAUUACUUAUAAAGCUAGGAAUGUAAAAAUACAAGUAUGGGAUAAGAUAUUAACAAUAGAAGAAAUUUAUAAUUAUGAAUUAACAUCAAAAGAUAUACUUUUAGGAAUGCCAUUUUUAGAUAAAUUAUACCCACAUAUAAUAACCAAAACAGACUGGUGGUUUACAACACCAUGCAAACAAAAAGUAAGAGCAAAAAGAGUUAAUAAUAAAAUAAGAAAGAAAACUGAUUGGAUAAAAGGAAGUGAAAAAAUUACACAAAAGUUAGAAAAUAUAAACAAUACUGAAGAUACAGUAGAACUAGUAGUAUUUUCGAUAAAUAAAACAGAAAUAACUAUAUUUUCAAUAAAUAAAAUAGAAAUAAUUCAGAAAAAAUUAGAACAAUUAUAUAGUGAAGAUCCAUUAAAAGGAUGGGAAAAACACAAAACUACUAUAAAAAUUGAAUUAAUAGAUAAGAAUAGCAUAAUAACACAAAAACCAUUAACAUAUAAUUUUGAUGAUUUAAAAGAAUUUAAAAUGCACAUAGAUGAAUUAUUAGAAAAACAAUAUAUACAAAAAAGUAAUAGUAAACAUAAUAGUCCAGCAUUUAUAGUAAAUAAACAUAGUGAACAAAAAAGAGGAAAAAGUAGGAUGGUUAUUGACUAUAGAAAUUUAAAUGCAAAAACUAUAACAUAUAAUUAUCCGAUACCAAAUAAGAUAUUAAAAAUAAGACAAAUCCAAGGAUAUAAUUAUUUUAGCAAAUUUGAUUGUAAAUCAGGAUUUCUUUUUCUAUUCUUACCAUUGCUGUUAAUUUAUCUUCUAAUUUUAAUUCUUCUUUUUCUAACAUUAGAUAUAAGUGUUCACCUAUUUUCUUAUAUCUUCGUCCUAGAUUAGAAAAUAC